CGGGAUAGUGCCGCUUUGCAUGGCUGACUCGAAAUCAGGCGUAGUGGCAACACUACCGUGGGUUCGAAUCCCACCCUCUCCGCCA
rnacentral:tRNA from 1 species